GACAGAGGCCUCAAGCGUUAGGCGGAAUCACUGGGCUUAAAGCGUGUGUAGGCGGAUCGUUAAGUGUCUUGUGAAAUCCCACGGCUCACCCGUGGAACUGCUGGGCAUACUGGCGAUCUUGGGCCAACUAGGGGCAACUGGAACAAGCGGUGGAGCGGUGAAAUGCGUAGAUAUCGUGAGGAAUACCAGAGGCGAAGGCGGCUACCUGGACAAUUGCUGACGCUCAGGCACGAAAGCGUGGGGAGCAAAAGGG
rnacentral:rRNA from 1 species